UACGUAGGCAGCAAGCGUUGUUCGGAGUUACUGGGCGUAAAGGGUGUGUAGGCGGUCCUCUAAGUUUGGUGUGAAAUCUCCCGGCUCAACUGGGAGGGUGCGCCGAAAACUGGGGGGCUAGAGUGCGGGAUGGGAGAGUGGAAUUCCUGGUGUAGCGGUGAAAUGCGUAGAUAUCAGGAGGAACACCUGUGGUGUAGACGGCUCUCUGGACCGCAACUGACGCUGAGACACGAAAGCGUGGGUAGCAAACAGG
rnacentral:rRNA from 1 species